UUACAGGGUGUGCUCAGAGAUGCUGGUCACAUUAGAAGAAAGCUUUGGCUGCAUGACCAGAUUUGUCUGACAUCUUCAUUGACCGUUUUCAUUACCCAGAAAUGGUGUAGCAGAAGAAAUGCAUGACAGCUGGGAUGCCUCAACCUAACUGGUUACUGCUAUAGGAAAAAUGUGAAGCCUGGCAGGAAAGUUCAUGCUUAUCAGAAUGGAAUUCAGAGCUCUGUGACUGAAGAAAGAAAGAAAAAGAAAGAAGAAAGGAAAUUCAGACACCAAUGGAAACUGGUCACCUUCAUGAACAGGUUAUAUUUAAAAGAAAUGGCUUGGUUGAAGAAACCUGAAGAUCAGAUGCCUGUGGUACCCGGGAACUUCAGUGAAAAGAUUGCAUUAAAAAAAAAUGGUUUGGCUGAAAAUACAUGAAGCCAAGAUACCUGUGAUAACCGAUGACCUUUACUGAAUUAGAAAUGGUUUGGCUGAAAAUACAUAAAGCCAAAAUACCUGGGAUAACCACUCGCCUUUACUGAAUUAGAAAUGGUUUGGCUGAAAAUACAUAAAGCCAAAAUACCUGGGAUAACCACUCGCAUUUACUGAAUUAGAAACAGUUUGGCUGAAAAUACAUGAAGCCAAGAUACCUGUGAUAACCUUUUCUGAAUUAGGAAUUAUUUUGCAGAAGUAGGAAUGUGAAGCUCAAGAUACCUGCAGGACAACUGGAUGGCUUUAUGGAAAGAUAUGAUGUGUUGCAGAAGGGUCUGUGCCAUCGGAGUGGAAAUUAGAUCCAGUCCAGCCUCCCUUGUUUAUGGUUCAGAAUUGCUUGGACUUCGCAAGCACAGCCACAAAAUGGAUUUAAUAAUGAUACAUAUAUUGUGAAUGGUAAAACCCUCUACUGUGUUGAUACUUUGAUAGAAAAACCCACAAUAUACAAACUAGAUUUAUUAAAAAGGAGAAUCGUUUUGAAAUCCUGGAUUCCAUCUUCAGGUCAGACCUGAAGGUGGAUUUUGAAACUGUUGUCUCGUUUUUAACAAAUCUAGUUUGUGACUGUAGGGUUUACUAUUACGUGUAUUGUAUUUUUUAAUAAAGUACUUUUAAUAAAAA